rnacentral:rRNA from 1 species
AACGAACGCUGGCGGCAUGCCUAACACAUGCAAGUCGAACGAGACCUUCGGGUCUAGUGGCGCACGGGUGCGUAACGCGUGGGAACCUGCCCUUAGGUUCGGAAUAACUCCCCGAAAGGGGUGCUAAUACCGGAUCAUGUCUUCGGACCAAAGAUUUAUCGCCAUUGGAUGGGCCCGCGUUGGAUUAGCUAGUUGGUAGGGUAAAAGCCUACCAAGGCGACGAUCCAUAGCUGGUCUGAGUGGAUGAUCAGCCACACUGGGACUGAGACACGGCCCAGACUCCUACGGGAGGCAGCAGUGGGGAAUGUUGGACAAUGGGCGAAGGCCUGAUCCAGCAAUGCCGCGUGAGUGAUGAAGGCCUUAGGGUUGUAAAGCUCUUUUACCCGGGAUGAUAAUGACAGUACCGGGAGAAUAAGCGCCGGCUAACUCCGUG